GGACAGAGGGAUGAGAAACAGAUCUUGCCGAUUCCCCUUAUCUCUCCCACCUCGUCCUUUAUCCCUCCCACCUCACCGCCACCCACCACCUCCUCUUCCUUCUCCGACCCACCUCGCCGCCGGCCCUCCCCCUCCUCUCCACCCACCUCGCAGCUCCGGAGGCUGCAGUAUCCGUAGCAUCUCCUACCCGCCCAUCCCUCUCGCCUCCCAUCUCUCUCUUCACGCUGCUCCUCGCUGCGCCACCGGCGACGGCUGAUUCAGGCGACGCUCGGCGAAUCCCGCCACCGCGAAGCACAACCCGAGCUCUCCUCGCACCGCGGCGCCCUCCCAUCCGGCUAGAUCCGACGCUCGAAGCCACCAAAGCCCACCCGCGACCCCCACCCCCCAUGGCUAGGGUUUCGGGCAUAGGCGACGGCGCCGGUUGCCAUGUCCUCCUCCUCUCGUCCGAUGUGGAGGGAGGAACGGCCAGUGGACAACCUUGCUGCUGCUCGGGAUGAAGCAGACAUGGAGCCAGUGCAGGUUGAUGCAGCGCUAUGAGGCUUGGUCGCUUGGAUGCGGUCCUGGAGGCAUAAAACGCACAUGAUGUUCACAAGCAUGGUGGCAGUAAGAUCUGUUGGCCGGUUCCUAAUGAGCUCCAAAACAGAGAAGCGCCAUGAUGUACCAUGGCUUGAGGAGAUGCAUAUGUCGGCAUUUCUUUGUGUAUUGCUGGAACAUGGUUUGCAUCACCACAUUCUAAGUGUAUAAUGUGAAGGUGGACAGUUCAGCAUAAUUACUAACGGAAUUUGAUACCUUUCAACGAAACGAUUCAAAAGAUAUAUGGAUGAUUAUAUGGGUGCGUGGCAAGUAUACUGCAAUGAUGAUGAAGUUCCAGUUCAUGAUGAUGGAUGCUUUUGGUUUUGUUAAGUACUAGGGACAUUGUUGAUGUUGCUAGAUGAUGUUCCUCAGUUACGUUUUAGUUUAGUUGUAGGGAUGUUGAUGGAUUCUUUCAGUUAAAGUUUCGCUUCGCUGUGAAGAAAAUAUUUAGAUUAUGCAGCAUAUUUGGAUGAUGUUCCUCAUGUAAUAUCCACUACUGUAAUCCAAAAGUUUUAUCCAAUAUAUGAUUUCUUCCCCUCCUGA